GCGGAGCUGCGGGGUGCGUGAGGAUCAUAUUCCCCGGGGCCUUAUUGAUCUCGACGGGAGCUGUCCCUGUCUUAGCCCGUGGGCUAGGGUACACGGCGCCCACCUACUUUGUAGGUUCCCGGGAUCGAAUCCCACGGCCAUCGUGGCCCCGCG
rnacentral:other from 1 species